GAUGAACGCUGGCGGCGUGCCUAAUACAUGCAAGUCGAGCGAACGGACGAGAAGCUUGCUUCUCUGAUGUUAGCGGCGGACGGGUGAGUAACACGUGGAUAACCUACCUAUAAGACUGGGAUAACUUCGGGAAACCGGAGCUAAUACCGGAUAAUAUUUUGAACCGCAUUGUUCAAAAGUGAAAGACGGUCUUGCUGUCACUUAUAGAUGGAUCCGCGCUGCAUUAGCUAGUUGGUAAGGUAACGGCCUACCAAGGCAACGAUGCAUAGCCGACCUGAGAGGGUGAUCGGCCACACUGGAACUGAGCCACGGUCCAGACGCCUACGGGAGGCAGCAGUAGGGAAUCUUCCGCAAUGGGCGAAAGCCUGACGGAGCAACGCCGCGUGAGUGAUGACGGUCUUCGGAUCGUAAAACUCUGUUAUUAGGGAAGAACAUAUGUGUAAGGAACUGUGCACAUCCUGACGGUACCUAAUCAGAAAGCCACGGCUAACUACGUG
rnacentral:rRNA from 1 species